UUUAUAGAUAUUUUAUUCCAGACCCAGUGGAGCGCCUCUUGAAACGAGGAAAGGUGCAGAAAUAUGCCAAAGAAAGAGCAUUUUGCAAUGCUUUCCAGAAGGUGCUUUUAGUUGUAUUGGGUGAUGGGAAGGUGGCCGUGGAGUGCAGGUUAGAUCCAGAUGAGAUUGUGCCGGAUGAGGAUUUGGAAGGACUGAUCCAGGUGAAUGAUAUUUCCUGGAGUGAGUUUGCAGGUGUGGAGGAGGACGAGGACCUUCUGUAUGAUUUGAGUCUGAAUAUGACAGAUGUGCCAUGAGGUCAGACUCUCCUGGGUUUGAUGUGUUAAAGGGGUGCCCUAACUAGUUUCACUGGGGAUAGGGGGAUUGUGAAGGAGAGUCUGUGAUGAGGCGUUUGUAACUUUGGCAGUUUCAUAUUCCAGUGCUAACCUAGGGAUUCUUAAAUAUAUAUA